GAGGGAAACCGAGUCUUAACCGGGCGUUAAGUUGCAGGGUAUAGACCCGAAACCCGGUGAUCUAGCCAUGGGCAGGUUGAAGGUUGGGUAACACGAACUGGAGGACCGAACCGACUAAUGUUGAAAAAUUAGCGGAUGACCUGUGGCUGGGGGUGAAAGGCCAAUCAAACCGGGAGAUAGCUGGUUCUCCCCGAAAGCUAUUUAGGUAGCGCCUCGUGAAUUCAUCUCCGGGGGUAGAGCACUGUUUCGGCUAGGGGGCCAUCCCGGCUUACCAACCCGAUGCAAACUGCGAAUACCGGAGAAUGUUAUCACGGGAGACACACGGCGGGUGCUAACGUCCGUCGUGAAGAGGGAAACAACCCAGACCGCCAGCUAAGGUCCCAAAGUCAUGGUUAAGUGGGAAACGAUGUGGGAAGGCCCAGACAGCCAGGAUGUUGGCUUAGAAGCAGCCAUCAUUUAAAGAAAGCGUAAUAGCUCACUGGUCGAGUCGGCCUGCGCGGAAGAUGUAACGGGGCUAAACCAUGCACCGAAGCUGCGGCAGCGACGCUGAUGCGUUGUUGGGUAGGGGAGCGUUCUGUAAGCCUGCGAAGGUGGCCUGUGAGGGUUGCUGGAGGUAUCAGAAGUGCGAAUGCUGACAUAAGUAACGAUAAAGCGGGUGAAAAGCCCGCUCGCCGGAAGACCAAGGGUUCCUGUCCAACGUUAAUCGGGGCAGGGUGAGUCGACCCCUAAGGCGAGGCCGAAAGGCGUAGUCGAUGGGAAACGGGUUAAUAUUCCCGUACUUGGUGUUACUGCGAAGGGGGGACGGAGAAGGCUAUGUUGGCCGGGCGACGGUUGUCCCGGUUUAAGCGUGUAGGUGUGUGUUCCAGGUAAAUCCGGUU
rnacentral:rRNA from 1 species